AGUGAACGCUGGCGGUAGGCCUAACACAUGCGAGUCGAACGGCAGCACAGUAAGAGCUUGCUCUUACGGGUGGCGAGUGGCGGACGGGUGAGGAAUACAUCGGAAUCUACUUUUUCGUGGGGGAUAACGUAGGGAAACUUACGCUAAUACCGCAUACGACCUACGGGUGAAAGCAGGGGAUCUUAGGACCUUGCGCGAUUGAAUGAGCCGAUGUCGGAUUAGCUAGUUGGCGGGGUAAAGGCCCACCAAGGCGACGAUCCGUAGCUGGUCUGAGAGGAUGAUCAGCCACACUGGAACUGAGACACGGUCCAGACUCCUACGGGAGGCAGCAGUGGGGAAUAUUGGACAAUGGGCGCAAGCCUGAUCCAGCCAUACCGCGUGGGUGAAGAAGGCCUUCGGGUUGUAAAGCCCUUUUGUUGGGAAAGAAAAGCAGCAGGUUAAUACCCCGCUGUUCUGACGGUACCCAAAGAAUAAGCACCGGCUAACUUCGUG
rnacentral:rRNA from 1 species